rnacentral:rRNA from 1 species
UACGGGGGGGGCAAGCGUUGUUCGGAAUUACUGGGCGUAAAGCGGGUGUAGGCGGACUUAUAAGUCAGGUGUGAAAUCCCAGGGCUCAACCCGUGGAAGUGCCACUUGAUACUGUAAGUCUUGAAUGUGGUAGAGGUUACUGGAAUUCUUGGUGUAGUGGUGAAAUACGUAGAUAUCAAAGAGGAACACCGGAGGCGAAGGCGGCAUCCUGGACCGAACAUUGACGCUGAACGGCGAAAGCUAGGGGAGCAAACGGG